CCUACGGGAGGCAGCAGUGGGGAAUUUUGGACAAUGGGCGAAAGCCUGAUCCAGCCAUGCCGCGUGCAGGAUGAAGGCCUUCGGGUUGUAAACUGCUUUUGUACGGAACGAAAAGGUCUUUUCUAAUAAAGAAGGCUCAUGACGGUACCGUAAGAAUAAGCACCGGCUAACUACGUGCCAGCAGCCGCGGUAAUACGUAGGGUGCGAGCGUUAAUCGGAAUUACUGGGCGUAAAGCGUGCGCAGGCGGUUAUAUAAGACAGUUGUGAAAUCCCCGGGCUCAACCUGGGAACUGCAUCUGUGACUGUAUAGCUAGAGUACGGUAGAGGGGGAUGGAAUUCCGCGUGUAGCAGUGAAAUGCGUAGAUAUGCGGAGGAACACCGAUGGCGAAGGCAAUCCCCUGGACCUGUACUGACGCUCAUGCACGAAAGCGUGGGGAGCAAACAGGAUUAGAUACCCUGGUAGUCCACGCCCUAAACGAUGUCAACUGGUUGUUGGGUCUUCACUGACUCAGUAACGAAGCUAACGCGUGAAGUUGACCGCCUGGGGGAGUACGGCCGCAAGGUUGAAACUUAAAGGAAUUGACGGCUUGNGNGNGCGAGCGACGACGAGGAGGAGG
rnacentral:rRNA from 1 species